rnacentral:lncRNA from 1 species
UAAAGGAAUUCUCCCAAACUAAGUGAGGAGCCCUCUGUGGAACGCACUUGGACUUGUGGUGCACAUGUGUGCAGGAGCACAGGCAGAGGCAGGAGCAUAUUGCUCAGAACAGAGCAUCCAAAUGGACCUCUUGCAGCUGCUGGGUGGAAGUGCCAAACAGUCUUCUCAUCAAAAAUAAG